AGUGAACGCUGGCGGUAGGCCUAACACAUGCAAGUCGAACGGCAGCACAGUAAGAGCCUGCUCUUACGGGUGGCGAGUGGCGGACGGGUGAGGAAUACAUCGGAAUCUACUUUUUCGUGGGGGAUAACGUAGGUAAACUUACGCUAAUACCUCAUACGACCUACGGGUGAAAGCAGGGGAUCUUCGGACCUUGCGCGAUUGAAUGAGCCGAUCUCGGAUUAGCUAGUUGGCGGGGUAAAGGCCCACCAAGGCGACGAUCCGUAGCUGGUCUGAGAGGGUGAUCAGCCACACUGGAACUGAGACACGGUCCAGACUCCUACGGAAGGCAGCAGUGGGGAAUAUUGGACAAUGGGCGCAAGCCUGAUCCAGCCAGACCGCGUGGGUGAAGAAGGCCUUCGGGUUGUAAAGCCCUUUUGUUGGGAAAGAAAAGCAGCAGGUUAAUACCCCGCUGUUCUGACGGUACCCAAAGAAUAAGCACCGGCUAACUUCGU
rnacentral:rRNA from 1 species